rnacentral:rRNA from 1 species
GACGAACGCUGGCGGCGUGCUUAACACAUGCAAGUCGAACGGAAAGGCCCUGCUUGCCGGGUACUCGAGUGGCGAACGGGUGAGUAACACGUGGGUGAUCUGCCCUGCACUUCGGGAUAAGCCUGGGAAACUAGGUCUAAUACCGGAUAGGAGCCAUUUUUAGUGUGAUGGUUGGAAAGUUUUUUCGGUGUAGGAUGAGCUCGCGGCCUAUCAGCUUGUUGGUGGGGUAAUGGCCUACCAAGGCGGCGACGGGUAGCCGGCCUGAGAGGGUGGACGGCCACAUUGGGACUGAGAUACGGCCCAGACUCCUACGGGAGGCAGCAGUGGGGAAUAUUGCACAAUGGGCGCAAGCCUGAUGCAGCGACGCCGCGUGGGGGAUGACGGCCUUCGGGUUGUAAACUCCUUUCGCUAGGGACGAAGCUUUUGUGACGGUACCUAGAUAAGAAGCACCGGCUAACUACGUG